UACGGAGGGUGCGAGCGUUGUCCGGAUUUAUUGGGUUUAAAGGGUGCGUAGGCGGCCGUUUAAGUCUGGGGUGAAAGCCCGCUGCUCAACAGCGGAACUGCCCUGGAUACUGGAUGGCUUGAGUACAGACGAGGUUGGCGGAAUGGACUGAGUAGCGGUGAAAUGCAUAGAUACAAUCCAGAACCCCGAUUGCGAAGGCAGCUGACUAGGCUGUUACUGACGCUGAGGCACGAAAGCGUGGGGAGCGAACAGG
rnacentral:rRNA from 1 species